GAAGGGUUUAGCAGUUCCAAAUACAAAAUAUGGAGAUAAAUUUAUUUUUCAUUUUACCUCAUCUAAGGAUAUGUUUUAUCUGAAUUUCCUGUGUAAAAGUGGUGUUGCUUUCCACUUUGAUAUCAUAUACAAUUACGGAGUGUAUAAAAACGUUGUCAGUGUCCACGCUAAAAAAACAGGUGGCUGGAAAACCAAUUUAUUCAGUGACGACUUUCCUUUCGGAAAAAAUAGUGAGGAUAUUAUGGUUUGGACCAUCCAACCACCGGAUAUCGAGAUAAAAGUGAAUAAUGAUGUGGAAUAUUUUAUAGAAAGCCGUGAAAACUGUUACGAUAAAUUGUACUGGAACGGCACUGGCAACAUAAUUUCCAUUUUUAUGACUUAGAUUGUAGAAACCUGAAUGCACACAAUUUGCAAAUGCUUAUCAAACUAAAUUUUAUGACACUAUGAUUUAGCUUAAUGUGACCUAAAAAUAAAAAUAAAAUAUACACUAUUGAUAAAUAUUUAAAUUAUAAGCAAUUGACUAAAGUAUUGAAUUAAGGAAAAAGGAGACAUUUUAAACUCUUAAUGUAAUGUUAUGUAUUUCAGAUUUGGAUUUUUUAAUCUUCGACUUUAUUACUAUUAUGUUUAUUUUUCUAAUCCUUUUGUUUCGUCUAUCUUACUCUUUACGUCAAUGGUAAUAGAUUUCCGACUUUGGUGAUGUGGGUUUUUAAAAGUUUAUUGUUUUACAAUGCAUUAAAUAAAAUUAUUCACAUGCGAAUUUUAUAGUCUAUCUUCA